rnacentral:rRNA from 1 species
AACGUAGGACGCGAGCGUUAUCCGGAGUUACUGGGCGUAAAGCGCGGGCAGGCGGUCUGACAAGUCUGAUGUGAAAUCUCCGGGCUUAACCGGGAGAGGCCAUUGGAAACUGACAGGCUGGAGGGCAGUAGAGGUAGGCGGAAUUCCGGGUGGAGUGGUGAAAUGCGUAGAGAUCCGGAGGAACACCAGAGGCGAAGGCGGCCUACUGGGCUGCACCUGACGCUGAGGAGCGAAAGCGUGGGGAGCGAACAGG